GGCUCUAUACUUGUACUAUUACAGAUGGUAAAGAAAGAGGCGACAGACAUUCCGAUUGUUGAACAAGGUGAAGCGGAAUAGCCCUAUUGUACUCUCCUGGAUGCAGAAGGCAUGUAGGACUCUAGUCCAACCCCUUGUGACGGUCAGCCACCAAUCAUGUAGUUUGAGAGGUAAUCUUGAGUAGACUGAUUCAGGAUCCACUGCAAAAGAAAAAAUAUUCAGACAUUGUCAUCUAACACAACUCAUUACGGGCAAUAAAAAGAAGGCUACAGGGUUCUUACUUACCAUCCUGCAGUUCACUGCUGUCUUGCAUAAAGUGUAAACAAAUAGUUCAAUUGACAUCUUUUGGCCCAUUUUAAUAACACUCUUUAUCAGUUUCCUCACUUGAUGCUGGUUCAUGAAUAUCUCAUUACCCCAUACGCAUAAAGGGUCGAAGUGUGGAUCUUUGGCAAUGAUAUAUGUACCUAAAAGCACCAACUUAAUAUUAGAAGCUAAACAACAAUUGAAAAAUGAUGUAGUACAACACUCCCUCCAUCCCAUUAUAUAAGAUUUUAUUACAUGUAUAUCUAGACAUCAUCAGAACAUUAAGGUAACACUCUUGUUGCUAUGUAGCCUGGGAUUGCAUAUUUAGUCAUUCAGCGCAAUGCAUGUUUCCAUGUAGCCUCGGAUAUAUUAAAUAUGGCCCUAGUUAACCUACUGAGAAAUGGGUUAUAGAUAUAUUUAGUGAAAUGUUUGAUUCAACGAUUAAUCCCUUAUCAGCCCCAGGCUAUAUGGUACCAGCUACUGAUAUCCUGAAUAGUCACUGGUGCACGUCGGUGUUACACAAACAGUUCUUAACCCCUUUCCGUGACGGCAUUUGGAACCGUCGCCAAGUGAGUGUGGGCGAUAGGGGGACCUUCCCACACGAUCCAGAAACCGUCGGGGAUAGAGAGCCUUGAUGCAUACAGUUGUCCCUAUAUAACCGUUUCUGAUAUCUCGAAUAUCCCAAAUGCUUCAUCCUUGCUACUCGUUUGUGCUUGCAUUGCCAUCGUAGUCGGAGUUUUCUGGUUUUACCUAAAGCCAGGCAGAUUCUAGGCACGGGAGUUUUACGAUGCCUGACACAUCACAAGCAGUUCAUGAUUACAAACCUUGUAUGAUAGGUAGACAAUUACACACAUUUAGUUUUCCCGCACCGUAUGUGAUAGUGUCUGACAUUACACACGUUUUGCAAACAGCAACUGUGUGCAUGCUUGUGACACCCUCGAUUCAAUCGUACACUAAUCAUACACGCAAAUGUAUAUGAUCAAGAUCGAGGACUCACGGGAAGAUAUCACAACACAACUCUAGACACAAAUUAAAAUAAUACAAGCUUUAUAUUACAAGCUAGGGGCCUCGAGGGCUCGAAUACAUAAGCUCGAAUACACAAGAGUCAGCGGAAGCAACAAUAUCUGAGUACAUCCAUAAGUUAGACAAGUCUGCCUUAAGAAGGCUAGCACAAAAGUAGCAUCGAUCGAAAAGGCAAGGCCUCCUGCCUGGGAGCCUCCUAACUACUCUUGGUCGUCAGCGGUCUCCAUGUAGUAGUAGGCAUCGACGGUGGCCUCUAGCUCCUGGGCUCCGACAUCUAGUUGGAUCAACCGGAAAGAAGAAGAAAGGGGGAAAAGGGGGAGCAAAGCAACCGUGAGUACUCAUCCAAAGUACUCGCAAGCAAGGAUCUACACUACAUAUGCAACAUUAUCAAAGGAAGGCUCUAUAUGUGGACUGGGCUGCAGAAAUGCCAGAAUAGAGGGGAGAACCUAGUCCUAUCGAAGAUUAGCAUCUUCUGGAAACCACCAUCUUGCAGCAACAGGAGGGAGUAGAGUAGCAUAAAGUAAAGUAGUAGAAGUGUUAUCAACCUCGGCCAGAGAUCCUUUCUCGACUCCCUGCGAGAAAGCAAUCCCAGAGCCAUACUAUCCAUUUAUCACCUCAUAUCCAAGCCUCAUCUCAAGUAUCCAGUUCUAGUUGUAUCGACCGGGAUACAACUCCAAGUGUCCGUUACCGUAGGAUAGGCUAUCGAUAGAUGUUUUGUUCCCCGCAGGGGUGCACCAAUUUACCCACCACACUCGAUUAACUCCGGCCAGACACACUUUCUUGGGUCAUGCUCGGCCUCGGCCAAACAAUACGCCGCAACCCGACCUAGGCUUAAUAGAGAGGUAAACACGCCGGACUAAACCUAUGCCCCCAGGGGUCAUGGGCCAUCGCCCCAGGAUCUCCUGCACGUUGCGUACGCGGCCGGUGAGCAGACCUAGCUACCUCCCUAAAAAGGCAGGAGCUUACCAUUCCAGCUCGGCGCGCGCCGCUUAGUUGCUGACGUCUAUUAAGCUUCGGCUGAUGCAUAUGACGCAGAACGCCCAUGCUAUGCCCACGUGAUGGUUAGUGUUAUCAGGCCAGAGGCCCCUCGGAUCAAAUAUCCAAAUCGUAGUGGAUUAGGAGCACGCGGGAACAAGCAGAGACUCACGAAAGAUGUGACCCCGUUUCCCCGUCUCGAGGACUUGCGACAAGGGCUAGGAAUGCCCGGCCACGCCUCGUAAUUAUCUCGCGGGCACCCUCCAGGUCAACCCGUCUCCACAUCACUCAAGGGUACCCCUCAGGGUCGACCCACCCUUCCAAGUAAUAGUUGUAAAGUCCAAGUAUCCGUGUGUCCAAACAUCAAGGGGAAAACCCGAGGAAUCACCCUCGGUGAAUUCCAUUCGAUGUAAUCAUCAAGGUGAACGUAAUAGGAACCACCCCUGAGGUUCACACUUGAGGGGCUGCACGACAGAGUCGUAUCGGAAGUGGUUAAGGCGGAAUCACCCUCGAUGACCACGACCUAAUAGCUACACUAUAGGGUUAACAUUAGAAGUGUUGUAGAGGUCUCACCCUCGGCACUCGAUAGUAACCCAGUAGUGUCGAGCAACUAAGGGGAAAGUGAUGUGUGGUGCCGGGGCCUGGUCUUCGAUCCCGUUGAUCGGGUCUUCAAUGAUGAAGCAGGGGAAACAAGGACAAGGUGGGGGUCACUGAUGGAUCACUAACCAACCUAUACUAAGCAGUUUAGGAUAAGCAGGUAAGGUACAAUAAGCAGGUUACAAAAGUAGGCUAUGCAUCAGAAUAGGAGCAAACAAUUAUAGUAGCAAAACAUAAUGCAAGCAUGAGAGAAAGGAAAUGGGCGAUAUCAGGAUUAUCAAAGGGGGGGCUUGCCUGGUUGCUCGGUGGCAAAGGCAGUGUCGUCCGCUGUGAAGUUGAUCACAAGGGCAACAUUGGUCUCGGGGUAUACCAGAGAGAAGAGGGGGAAGAAACAGUAAUUAUAAAGCAAAUCAAGCAUCAUAAAGCAUAACAUGGUAAUACGCGGUUUUAGAGGUGAACUAACGCAGUGCUAGACGUUGCAGACGGAGAGGGAAAACAUCCGGAGGGUUUUCCCGACGUCUGAUGUUUUCCGAACAAAUGAAAAGAGAGGCGACGGUUCCAUGUUUAGCAUGGCAGGGGCAUGUGACAGAUGAAUGGACCGUGUAUCCGGAUUCGUUGGAUUUUUCUGAACAACUUUUAUGUAGAAAACAAUUUCAUCCGAGCUAUGGUUUAUUUUCUAUUAAUUUUUAUAGGUUUAACAAUAUUCCAAAAUUUCUGCUUUUGAUCAAUUCGAGUUGACCAAGUCAAAUUGACUGGUCAAAUAGGUACGGGUGGCUCACAUGUCAUAGGUUGUACCAAAAAAAUAAAUAAAACUAACCUAAUUAAAUGGGACCCACAUGUCAUAGGGUAGCAACUAAUUUAACUAGUACUAAUUAGCCCCUAACCUAACUUACUCCUAAUUAAUUGGGCCAGCCAUUGGUAUAGCCAUGCCUCACUUUCACUGGCUGUGCCAUGGUUGUGUGGGCACAGUCAGCACGCAUGGGCGCUGAGCCACGACAGCCAUGGUCAUGAGUAGCAGUAGCUAUAACGCAGAAACAAGGCAUCAACUAUCAUACGCAGCAGCAGUAGUGAGCAGCAGAGCAGCAUGGAGCAGAGUAGUAGCAAAGCAGCAUGGAGCAGAGUAGUAGCAAAGCAGCGUAGCAGCAAAGCAAAGGCAGCAGCGGCGGCGGUAGCAGCACACCAGGGUGGCGAGCGGGCGUCGCGCGCGCCUGGACGACGCGAGAGAGCAGUGGGCAGGGGUGCGUCGCUGCCGGCGGCCCCGCUGCUGCAUUACCGCCGACGCGAGAGAGCAGCAGGCCUGGCAGGGGCGCGGCCAUGUCUCGCGGGAAACAGAAGCAGCGCAGACGGCGAUGGACAGCAGCAGCGGCGCAGGUAGGCGCGGCCUGGGGUCAACCGGGAGCGCGGAUCGCGACAGCGUGAAGGAGCGCAGACACCGCCACGGUGAGCUUCGGCCAUGGCGGCGAGGCGGUGACAUACGACACGAAUCGAGACCUUGGAAGAUGGGAUCCAGAGGAGAAGCUCACCGCGAGUUGGAUGAUGAGGUCGGGGAGGCCGAGGACGGACCGGAGCCGUGGCGAACAACGUCAGACGCCGGCGAUGUACCGAUGAAGAUGUGCCUGAUGCCGAGUGUACUGGGCAUCCUAGCUCGAGCCCUUCAGCGAGGGUGAAAGAGACAGCGAUGGCGGAGCUCCUCGAUGUCUUCUGAGGCGGUGAGGUGGACGGUGGCUGCGGUGAUGAUGACGACCAUGACCAGGGCGAGCUCUAAAUCUGAACAGAGAGGCGCGAGGGGAAUGAACUGGAUGGCUAGUGUUUGUCCACUCCGUCGGGGAGGUCCUUAUGCAUCUCCAGGGGGCUCCGGAUGGUCGACACGGCGACAUCCGUGGCAUGGACAGCCGUGUGCGCGGCCACGCCAGGGCGCUGCCUCCUCCUGUACAGUAGGAAGAAGGAGAAGGCCAUGGUGGGCUUGGGACGUGCACUGUAGUUGCAUAGAGCCCAUAUGUACAGUAGGUUUUAAGUCUUUUAUUUUUCCUUUUCUGUUGAAACAAAAUAGCUUCAUAAUAAACAAAACUUGAACCUAAGUUAUUAUUAUAAAAUAGGCUACUGCCACAAUUUGCUCGGUAGUUAAAUAAAUUAGAUUAGCAUUUUUUUAUAAUUUAAAAAGCAAUUAUAGUAGCAAAAUAAAUUAGAUUAGCAGGCUAUGCAUCAGAAUAGGAGCAAACAAUUAUAGUAGCAAAAUAUAAUGCAAGCAUGAGAGAAAGGAAAUGGACGAUAUCGGGAUGACCAAAGGGGGGGCUUGCCUGGUUGCUCGGUGGCAAAGGCAGUGUUGUCCGCUGUGAAGUCGAUCACAAGGGCAACAUCGGUCUCGGGGUCUACCGGAGAGAAGAGGGGGAAGAAACAGUAAUUAUAAAGAAAACAAAGCAUCAUAAAGCAUAACAUGGUAAUACGCGGUGUUAGAGGUGAACUAACGCAGUGCUAGACGUUGCAGACGGAGAGGGAAAACAUCCGGAGGGUUUUCCCGACGUCUGAUGUUUUCCGGACAAAUGAAAAGAGAAGGGAUGGUUCCAUGUUCAGCAUGCUAGGGGCAUGUGACAGAUGAAUGAACCGCGUAUCCGGAUUCGUUGGAUUUUUCUGAACAACUUUUAUGUAAAAAACAAUUUCAUCCGAGCUAUGGUUUAUUUUCUAUUAAGUUUUAUAGUUUUAACAAUAUUCUGAAAUUUCUGCUUUUGAUUAAUUCGAGUUGACCAAGUCAAAUUGACUGGUAAAAUAGUUAUGGAUGGCCCACAUGUCAUAGGUUGUACCAAAUAAAUAAAUAAAACUAACCUAAUUAAAUGGGACCCACAUGUCAUAGGGUAGCAACUAAUUUAACUAGUACUAAUUAGCCCCUAACCUAACCUAAUCCUAAUUAAUUCGGCCGGCCAUUGGUAUAGCCAUGCCUCACAUUCACUGGCUGUGCCACGGUUGUGUGGGCACGGUCAGCACGCAUGGGCCUGAGCCACGGCAGCCAUGGUCAUGAGCAGCAGCAACUAUAACGCAGAACCAAGGCAUCAUCUAUCAUACGCAACAGUAGUAGUGAGCAGCAGAGCAGCAUGGAGCAGAGUGGUAGCAAAGCAGCAUGGAGCAGAGUAGUAGCAAAGCAGCAUAGCACCAAAGCAAAGGAAGCAGCGGCGGCGGUAGCAGCACACCAGGGUGGGCGAGCGGGCGUCGCGCGCGCCUGGAUGAUGCGAGAGAGCAGUGGGUAGGGGCGCGUCGCUGCCGGCGGCCCCGCUGCUGCACUACCGCCGACGCGAGAGAGCAGCGGGCCUGGCAGGGGCGCGGCCAUGUCCUGCGGGCAACAGAAGCAGCGUGGACGGCGAUGGACAGCGGCAGCGGCACGGGUAGGCGCGGCCUGGGGUCACCCGGGAGCGCGGACCGCGACACUAUGAGCGCGAUGGAGCACAGACACGGCCAUAGUGAGCUUCGGCCAUGGUGGCGGGGCGGUGACAUACGACACGAAUCGAGACCUGGGAAGAGGGGAUUUGGAGGAGAAGCUCACCGCGAGUUGGAUGAUGAGGUCGGGGAGGCCGGGGACGGACCUGAGCCGUGGCAAACGACGCUGGACGCCGGCGAUGUACCGAUGAAGAUGUGCCCGAUGCCGAGCGUACUAGGUGUCCUAGCUCGAGCCCUUCGGCGAGGGCGGAGCUCCUCGACGUCUUCUCAGGCGCUGAGGUGGAGGGUGGCCGUGGUGACGACGACGACCAAGACCAGGGCGAGCUCUAAAUCUGAACAGAGAGGCGCGAGGGGAACGAACUGGACGGCUAGGGUUUGUCCACUCGGUCGGGGAGGUCUUUAUGCAUCUCCAGGGGGCUCCGGAUGGUCGACA
rnacentral:lncRNA from 1 species